rnacentral:piRNA from 1 species
UAUGUGCGUGGUGCUGCUUUGGUAC